GCGAAUAUAGAUUAAUGGUAGAUUAUCUGCCUUCCAAGCAGAUGGUAUGAGUUCGAGUCUCAUUGUUCGCA
rnacentral:tRNA from 1 species